rnacentral:rRNA from 1 species
GACGAACGCUGGCGGCGUGCUUAACACAUGCAAGUCGAACGGAAAGGCCCUGCUGUUGUGGGGUGCUCGAGUGGCGAACGGGUGAGUAGCACGUGAGUUACCUGCCCGUGGCUGUGGAAUAACUUCAGGAAACUGUGGCUAAUAACGGAUAGGUACCCCUGCUGCAUUUUUUGGGUUGGAAAGUUUCUGCGGUUGGGGAUGGACUCGCUGCUUAUCAGCUUGUUGGUUGGGUAGUGCAUUACCAAGGCUUUGAAGGGUAGCCGGCCUGAGAGGGUGACCGGCCACAUAGGGACUGAGAUAGGGCCGAGCCACAUACGGGAGGGAGCAGUGGGGAAUAUUGCAUGAUGGGCGGAAGCAUGACGCAGCAAGGAAGCGUGCGGGAUGAAGGCAUUCGGUUUGUAAACCGCUUUCGCUUGUGACGAAGCGUGAGUGACGGUAAUGGGUAAAGAAGCACCGGCUAACUACGUG